GACGAACGCUGGCGGCGUGCUUAGCACAUGCAAGUCGAACGGAAAGGCCCUGCUUUUGUGGGGUGCUCGAGUGGCGAACGGGUGAGUAACACGUGAGUAACCUGCCCUUGACUUUGGGAUAACUUCAGGAAACUGGGGCUAAUACCGGAUAGGAGCUCCUGCUGCAUGGUGGGGGUUGGAAAGUUUCGGCGGUUGGGGAUGGACUCGCGGCUUAUCAGCUUGUUGGUGGGGUAGUGGCUUACCAAGGCUUUGACGGGUAGCCGGCCUGAGAGGGUGACCGGCCACAUUGGGACUGAGAUACGGCCCAGACUCCUACGGGAGGCAGCAGUGGGGAAUAUUGCACAAUGGGCGGAAGCCUGAUGCAGAAACGCCGCGUGCGGGAUGACGGCCUUCGGGUUGUAAACCGCUUUCGCCUGUGACGAAGCGUGAGUGACGGUAAUGGGUAAAGAAGCACCGGCUAACUACGUGCCAGCAGCCGCGGUGAUACGUAGGGUGCGAGCGUUGUCCGGAUUUAUUGGGCGUAAAGGGCUCGUAGGUGGUUGAUCGCGUCGGAAGUGUAAUCUUGGGGCUUAACCCUGAGCGUGCUUUCGAUACGGGUUGACUUGAGGAAGGUAGGGGAGAAUGGAAUUCCUGGUGGAGCGGUGGAAUGCGCAGAUAUCAGGAGGAACACCAGUGGCGAAGGCGGUUCUCUGGGCCUUUCCUGACGCUGAGGAGCGAAAGCGUGGGGAGCGAACAGGCUUAGAUACCCUGGUAGUCCACGCUGUAAACGGUGGGUACUAGGUGUGGGGUCCAUUCCACGGGUUCCGUGCCGUAGCUAACGCUUUAAGUACCCCGCCUGGGGAGUACGGCCGCAAGGCUAAAACUCAAAGGAAUUGACGGGGCCCCGCACAAGCGGCGGAGCAUGCGGAUUAAUUCGAUGCAACGCGUAGAACCUUACCUGGGUUUGACAUGGAUCGGGAGUGCUCAGAGAUGGGUGUGCCUCUUUUGGGGUCGGUUCACAGGUGGUGCAUGCCUGUCGUCAGCUCGUGUCGUGAGAUGUUGGGUUAAGUCCCGCAACGAGCGCAACCCUUGUUCACUGUUGCCAGCACGUUAUGGUGGGGACUCAGUGGAGACCGCCGGGGUCAACUCGGAGGAAGGUGGGGAUGACGUCAAGUCCUCAUGCCCCUUAUGUCCAGGGCUUCACGCAUGCUACAAUGGCUGGUACAGAGAGUGGCGAGCCUGUGAGGGUGAGCGAAUCUCGGAAAGCCGGUCUCAGUUCGGAUUGGGGUCUGCAACUCGACCUCAUGAAGUCGGAGUCGCUAGUAAUCGCAGAUCAGCAACGCUGCGGUGAAUACGUUCCCGGGGCC
rnacentral:rRNA from 1 species